GACGAACGCUGGCGGCGUGCUUAACACAUGCAAGUCGAACGGAAAGGCCCUGCUUGCAGGGUACUCGAGUGGCGAACGGGUGAGUAACACGUGGGUGAUCUGCCCUGCACUUCGGGAUAAGCCUGGGAAACUGGGUCUAAUACCGGAUAGGAGCCAUUUUUAGUGUGAUGGUUGGAAAGUUUUUUCGGUGUAGGAUGAGCUCGCGGCCUAUCAGCUUGUUGGUGGGGUAAUGGCCUACCAAGGCGGCGACGGGUAGCCGGCCUGAGAGGGUGGACGGCCACACUGGGACUGAGAUACGGCCCAGACUCCUACUGGAGGCAGCAGUGGGGAAUAUUGCACAAUGGGCGCAAGCCGGAUGCAGCGACGCCGCGUGCGGGAUGACGGCCUUCGGGUUGGAAACUCCUUUCGCUAGGGACGAAGCUUUUUGUGACGGUACCUAGAUAAGAAGCACCGGCUAACUACGUG
rnacentral:rRNA from 1 species